rnacentral:rRNA from 1 species
AUUGAACGCUGGCGGCAGGCUUAACACAUGCAAGUCGAGCGGAGCGAGGGUGCUUGCACCUUAGCUUAGCGGCGGACGGGUGAGUAAUGCUUAGGAAUCUGCCUAUUAGUGGGGGACAACAUUCCGAAAGGAAUGCUAAUACCGCAUACGCCCUACGGGGGAAAGCAGGGGAUCUUCGGACCUUGCGCUAAUAGAUGAGCCUAAGUCGGAUUAGCUAGUUGGUGGGGUAAAGGCCUACCAAGGCGACGAUCUGUAGCGGGUCUGAGAGGAUGAUCCGCCACACUGGGACUGAGACACGGCCCAGACUGCUACGGGAGGCAGCGGUGGGGAAUAUUGGACAAUGGGCGGAAGCCUGAUCCAGCCAUGCCGCGUGUGUGAAGAAGGCCUUUUGGUUGUAAAGCACUUUAAGCGAGGAGGAGGCUACCUAGAUUAAUACUCUGGGAUAGUGGACGUUACUCGCAGAAUAAGCACCGGCUAACUCUGUGCCAGCCGCCGCCGUAAGAC